rnacentral:rRNA from 1 species
GUCGAGCGGUAGGCCCUUUCGGGGGUACACGAGCGGCGAACGGGUGAGUAACACGUGGGUGACCUGCCCUCAGCUCUGGGAUAAGCCUGGGAAACCGGGUCUAAUACCGGAUACGACCUCCUGUCGCAUGGCGGGUGGUGGAAAGUUUUUUCGGCUGAGGAUGGGCCCGCGGCCUAUCAGCUUGUUGGUGGGGUGAUGGCCUACCAAGGCGACGACGGGUAGCCGGCCUGAGAGGGCGACCGGCCACACUGGGACUGAGACACGGCCCAGACUCCUACGGGAGGCAGCAGUGGGGAAUAUUGCGCAAUGGGCGAAAGCCUGACGCAGCGACGCCGCGUGGGGGAUGACGGCCUUCGGGUUGUAAACCUCUUUCGCCAUCGACGAAGCCCUUCGGGGUGACGGUAGGUGGAGAAGAAGCACCGGCCAACCACGUGCCAGCAGCCGCGGUAAUACGUAGGGUGCGAGCGUUGUCCGGAAUUAUUGGGCGUAAAGAGCUCGUAGGCGGUGUGUCGCGUCGGUCGUGAAAACUUGGGGCUUAACCCUGAGCUUGCGGUCGAUACGGGCAUCACUUGAGUUCGGCAGGGGAGACUGGAAUUCCUGGUGUAGCGGUGAAAUGCGCAGAUAUCAGGAGGAACACCGGUGGC